UACGGAGGGUGCAAGCGUUAUCCGGAUUCACUGGGUUUAAAGGGUGCGUAGGAGGGCAGGUAAGUCAGUGGUGAAAUCCCCGGGCUUAACUUGGGAACUGCCGUUGAUACUAUCUGUCUUGAAUAUCGUGGAGGUGAGCGGAAUAUGUCAUGUAGCGGUGAAAUGCUUAGAUAUGACAUAGAACACCAAUUGCGAAGGCAGCUCGCUACACGAAUAUUGACUCUGAGGCACGAAAGCGUGGGGAUCAAACAGG
rnacentral:rRNA from 1 species